CACAAGGCCCCGCCCCCACAGCUGCCCUGCCCCACCUUUCAUUCAUUGAUAGCUUCCAGCAACUUUCAGCUUUCCUCAUUGUGAAUUAUGACUAUGAGCUAUUUUAAAAUUACUGUAACCCAACGUGCUUCAUGCACUCUCUGGGAUCCAAAGGAUCCUCUUUCCACCAUGGCUUGUGAAGGUUUUCGAAACUGGAAAGAAGACAGAUUUCUGCAGAAUCGACUCAAGGCAAGAUGCAGUAGAGAAAUGUAAGAAUCAACUAGAGGAGCCGUUUACCUAGUAGGUGCAUCUUACCAGCAAGUUCUUCAGCAUCCUUUUGAGAAGCAUUCGACAGCCAAGAAAGCAGGCUAUGCCUCACCUACUCCUUCCUGGGCUAAAGAUCUCAGACUUGGUUGCUCAUCUUAAUUCGGGAAAAAUAAAUGAAGGAAUUCUUCUAUCAUUACACACAACACAGAAUAAUCUGUUUAAGAAAUUAUUUUUGAUCAUCCACAUUUU